rnacentral:miRNA from 11 species
AUAUACAUGUGUGCAUAGACACACAUUUAUAUAUAUGUGUGUGUGUGUGUGUAUGUAUGUGUGUGUGUGUGUAUAUAUACACACACACACACACGCAUAUCUAU